rnacentral:lncRNA from 1 species
AGAGUGCACCCUUAGUUUUCAUGUAGGGAUUUGAAGCUAAAAUAUAAGGGAGUUUCACCUAAUAGUUACAAACUUAUAUUUACAAGUAGUGGAGGUCGCUUAUAAACGAUCGUGUUAAGUGAAUUCCUGGCAUAAGUAUCAUUCACUUUCAUAGUUACAAAUGCCUUGUCAACACUUAUGAUUUUCAUAGAACUUAAUGAUCUUUGAUUGUUUCUCUAUUAUGCGCUUUCAUGUAGGGAACUUUUGAAGAAUAAUUUGAUUGCGAUGCGCUAUUUCCAUUCAAUUCAAUGACUUAAGGAAAAUCUGAGGGUUAAUUUAAGCGUACCUAAUUAACUUG